GACGGGGGUGCCCGCACAAGCGGAGGGAGCAUGGGGGUUUAAUUCGAUGAUACGGGGAGGGACCCUUCCCUGGACUCAAAUGUAGUUGGAAUUAUCCAGAAAUGGGGUAAGCCCUUCGGGGCCGGGAUCAAGGUGCUGCAUGGUUGUCGUCAGCUCGUGCCGUGAGGUGUCGGGUUAAGGUCCUAUAUCGAGCGCAACCCCUACGUCCAGUUGCCAGCGGGUGAAGCCGGGGACUCUGGAGGAACUGCCCACGCAAGUGGAGAGGAAGGUGGGGAUGACGUCAAAUCAUGCACGGCCCUUACGUCCAGGGCGACACACGUGCUACAAUGGCCGGUACAGAGGGCAGCCACCCUGUGAGGGGGAGCGAAUCUCGAAAGCCGGUCUCAGUUCGGAUCGGAGUCUGCAACUCGACUCCGUGAAGUUGGAUUCAGCUAGUAAUCCGCGCAUCAUGCCAUGCGCGCGGUGAAUACGUUCCCGGCGACCUUGUACACACCGCCCGUCAAAGCCGAUGAAAGUCUGGGGUACCUGAAGUCCGUGACCGAGAGUGACGCGGCACUGAGGGUAAAACGAGGUGAUUGGGGUCUAAGUCGUAACAA
rnacentral:rRNA from 1 species